UAAGCGUGUAGGCUGACUUUCCAGGCAAAUCCGGAAGGUUAAGGCUGAGGCGUGAUGACGAGGCACCACGGUGCUGAAGUGACAAAUGCCCUGCUUCCAGGAAAAGCCUCUAAGCAUCAGGUAACAUCAAAUCGUACCCCAAACCGACACAGGUGGUCAGGUAGAGAAUACCAAGGCGCUUGAGAGAACUCGGGUGAAGGAACUAGGCAAAAUGGUGCCGUAACUUCGGGAGAAGGCACGCUGACAUGUAGGUGAAGCCCCUGCGGGUGGAGCUGAAGUCAGUCGAAGAUACCAGCUGGCUGCAACUGUUUAUUAAAAACACAGCACUGUGCAAACACGAAAGUGGACGUAUACGGUGUGACGCCUGCCCGGUGCCGGAAGGUUAAUUGAUGGGGUUAUCGCAAGAGAAGCUCCUGAUCGAAGCCCCGGUAAACGGCGGCCGUAACUAUAACGGUCCUAAGGUAGCGAAAUUCCUUGUCGGGUAAGUUCCGACCUGCACGAAUGGCGUAAUGAUGGCCAGGCUGUCUCCACCCGAGACUCAGUGAAAUUGAACUCGCUGUGAAGAUGCAGUGUACCCGCGGCAAGACGGAAAGACCCCGUGAACCUUUACUACAGCUUGACACUGAACAUUGAGCCUUGAUGUGUAGGAUAGGUGGGAGGCUUUGAAGCGUGGACGCCAGUCUGCGUGGAGCCGACCUUGAAAUACCACCCUUUAAUGUUUGAUGUUCUAACCUGGCGCCGUGAUCCGGCGUGGGGACAGUGUCUGGUGGGUAGUUUGACUGGGGCGGUCUCCUCCCAAAGUGUAACGGAGGAGCACGAAGGUCAGCUAAUCCUGGUCGGACAUCAGGAGGUUAGUGCAAUGGCAUAAGCUGGCUUGACUGCGAGAGUGACGGCUCGAGCAGGUGCGAAAGCAGGUCAUAGUGAUCCGGUGGUUCUGUAUGGAAGGGCCAUCGCUCAACGGAUAAAAGGUACUCCGGGGAUAACAGGCUGAUACCGCCCAAGAGUUCAUAUCGACGGCGGUGUUUGGCACCUCGAUGUCGGCUCAUCACAUCCUGGGGCUGAAGUAGGUCCCAAGGGUAUGGCUGUUCGCCAUUUAAAGUGGUACGCGAGCUGGGUUUAGAACGUCGUGAGACAGUUCGGUCCCUAUCUGCCGUGGGCGCUGGAGAAUUGAGGGGGGCUGCUCCCAGUACGAGAGGACCGGAGUGGACGCAUCACUGGUGUUCGGGUUGUCAUGCCAAUGGCACUGCCCGGUAGCUAAAUGCGGAAGAGAUAAGUGCUGAAAGCAUCUAAGCACGAAACUUGCCCCGAGAUGAGUUCUCCCUGAGACUGUAAGUCUCCUGAAGGAACGUUGAAGACGACGACGUUGAUAGGCCGGGUGUGUAAGCGCAGCGAUGCGUUGAGCUAACCGGUACUAAUGAACCGUGAGGCUUAACCUUACAACGCCAAAGAAGU
rnacentral:rRNA from 1 species